AGUCGAACGGCAGCACGGGGGCAACCCUGGUGGCGAGUGGCGAACGGGUGAGUAAUACAUCGGAACGUGCCCAGUCGUGGGGGAUAACGUAGCGAAAGUUACGCUAAUACCGCAUACGAUCUAAGGAUGAAAGCGGGGGACCGUAAGGCCUCGCGCGAUUGGAGCGGCCAAUGUCAGAUUAGGUUGUUGGUGAGGUAAAGGCUCACCAAGCCGACGAUCUGUAGCUGGUCUGAGAGGACGACCAGCCACACUGGGACUGAGACACGGCCCAGACUCCUACGGGAGGCAGCAGUGGGGAAUUUUGGACAAUGGACGCAAGUCUGAUCCAGCCAUUCCGCGUGCAGGACGAAGGCCUUCGGGUUGUAAACUGCUUUUGUACGGAACGAAAAAGCCUUGGCUAAUACCCGGGGUCCAUGACGGUACCGUAAGAAUAAGCACCGGCUAACUACGUGCCAGCAGCCGCGGUAAUACGUAGGGUGCGAGCGUUAAUCGGAAUUACUGGGCGUAAAGCGUGCGCAGGCGGUUAUAUAAGACAGAUGUGAAAUCCCCGGGCUCAACUGGGAACUGCAUUUGUGACUGUAUAGCUAGAGUACGUAGAGGGGGAUGGA
rnacentral:rRNA from 1 species